rnacentral:rRNA from 1 species
AAACAUGGUCUAUUGAUUUAUAUAUUAGAUCUAACCUGCUCAAUGAAUUUUAUUAUUUAAAUAGCCGCAGUAUUCUGACUGUGCAAAGGUAGCAUAAUCAUUUGUCUUUUAAUUGGAGGCUUGUAUGAAUGGUUUGAUGAGAGAGUGUCUUUCUUUAUAUUAAAUGUUGAAUUUAACUUUUAUGUUAAAAGGCUUAAAUUGAUAAGUGGGACGAGAAGACCCUAUAGAAUUUUAUUUAUGUAAUUAUGACUAUUUUUUUGGUUAAUUUUUUAUUUAUAAUUGCAUGAAUUUGGUUGGGGUGACAGUAAGAUUUGUUUAACUCUUAUAAUUUAUUUAUUACUGAUUAGUAUUUUUAAGAUCCUGCUUUAGGAUAAUUAGAUUAAAUUACCUUAGGGAUAACAGCGUAAUUUCACCGGAGAGUUCAUAUUGAUGGUGAAGUUUGCGACCUCGAUGUUGGAUUAAAAUUAGAUUUAAGUGCAGAAGCUUAA